GCUAGUAAUGAUAUAAUUCUGAUAAAAAUUUAACAGCAGCCUACAAACUUUACAUUGUGACAUAUAUUCUUAUAUUCGACAAAGAGAAUUGAAUCGAGGGUUUUUAACGUAUAGCGUAAUAGAAUUUUAAUAUCCAUUCAAAAUAAUCAGAAUAAGAUUUGAGGUUAUGUCCGCAAUAAAUAUAAAUAUGGCCGUGUUCUGGGUUUUGGUGCCACGUAGUCUGGCACAAGUUUACCAACGUUUCAGAGGUCUUCCUGACGACGGAAGUACUACUGAAAUGUUGGCAAACUCGUACCAGACUACGUGGCGCUACAACACAGAACACGGCCAUCUUUGAUAUAAUUAGAGUUAUUAAGUGUCUAUCGGCAAAGUACGCAGAGUCGUAGAAGACCUGAAGAUGCGUUCUUAAACCUGAAACAUGUUGUCAUACUGGCCUCAACCCCAGGAGAGUGCUCAUUAAGGAAUUGCACAUUUUUCAUCUCGCUCAUUACACUUUGAAGACGAAAGGACACUUUAUCAUGAUACAUCAAUGGGCAAAUUUCCUUCACUCACUUGAGAGACAACGAGUAGUCCUGCCGCGUGGAUUCGCUGUUGCGGACGAGGUAGCUGCCUUCCCUCAGGAGACGCAAGACAUUUUCGGCCUCAACCCUCGUGAUGGCACCAUGGUACCACCUGCAACACAUGGGGGAUGCAGUUGGCAGUCUGAAAUUCUUCAACACGUUUCCCGCAAAUAAAUUACGAAUUAUUCCAAAGA